rnacentral:rRNA from 2 species
UGGUGCCAGCAGCCGCGGUAAUUCCAGCUCCUAUAGCGUAUAUUAAAGUUGUUGCAGUUAAAAAGCUCGUAGUUGAAUUUCGGGGUUAGUAGGUUGGUCAUGCCUCUGGUAUGUACUGGCCUCACUGAUUCCUCCUUCCUGAUGAACCUUAAUGCCAUUAAUUUGGUGUUUUGGGGAAUUUGGACUGUUACUUUGAAAAAAUUAGAGUGUUUAAAGCAAGCUAACGCUUGAAUACAUUAGCAUGGAAUAAUGAAAUAGGACGUUCGAUCCUAUUUUGUUGGUUUCUAGGAUUGACGUAAUGAUUAAUAGGGAUAGUUGGGGGCAUUAGUAUUCAAUUGUCAGAGGUGAAAUUCUUGGAUUUAUUGAAGACUAACUACUGCGAAAGCAUUUGUCAGGGAUGUUUUCAUUAAUCAAGAACGAAAAGUUAGGGGAUCGAAGACGAUCUGAUACCGUCGUAGUCUUAAACCAUAAAACUAUGCCGAACUAGGGAUCGGAUGAUGUUAAUUUUUUAAUGACUCA